GACGAACGCUGGCGGCGUGCUUAACACAUGCAAGUCGAACGAAAAGAGGGAAAGAGCUUGCUCUUUCCGGAAUUGAGUGGCAAACGGGUGAGUAACACGUAAACAACCUGCCUUCAGGAUGGGGACAACAGACGGAAAAGAAUGCUAAUACCGAAUAAGGUCCAAGAACCGCAUGGCCCAUGGAAGAAAAGGUGGCCUCUACCUGUAAGCUAUCGCCUGGAGAGGGGGUUGCGUCUGAUUAGCUGGUUGGAGGGGUAACGGCCCACCAAGGCGACGAUCAGUAGCCGGUCUGAGAGGAUGAACGGCCACACUGGAACUGAGACACGGUCCAGACUCCUACGGGAGGCAGCAGUGGGGAAUCUUCCGCAAUGGGCGAAAGCCUGACGGAGCAACGCCGCGUGAGUGAUGACGGCCUUCGGGUUGUAAAACUCUGUGAUCCGGGACGAAAAGGCAGAGUGCGAAGAACAAACUGCAUUGACGGUACCGGAAAAGCAAGCCACGGCUAACUACGUG
rnacentral:rRNA from 1 species